AUAACCGGCGGAACGGGUGCGUAACACGUGAACAACCUGCCCUCGGUGUGGGGGAGUAGCCGGGCUAACGCCCGGGUAAUACCGCAUACGUUCUCUUUGGGGAGUCCCGAGGAGAGGAAAGCUCCGGCGCACGGGGAGGGGUUCGCGGCCUAUCAGCUAGUUGGGGGGGUAACGGCCUCCCAAGGCGACGACGGGUAGCUGGUCUGAGAGGACGAUCAGCCACACUGGGACUGAGACACGGCCCAG
rnacentral:rRNA from 1 species